rnacentral:tRNA from 1 species
GCCGCUGAUAAUUAAGAGCGCUACCUUGACAUGGUAGAGGUCGGUGGUUCGAAUCCACUCGGUCGUACCA